AUGGCUCCAGUGCGCUCAUGUCCAAUAUGCUAUAAGGUUGUGGUUGGCUUUAGUCAGCACCUUAGGUAUGUACACCAUGUGAGGAACAGUGAGGAGAGGGUACUCCUCUGUAAGUGGCAGUCAGGCCGUGUCAAUGUCAGGCAGGAGCAGUGUCCAGUGUCAGGAUGCUCCACACAUCUUAGCAGACUGGACCGGCAUAUAGACUCCCACUCAGAGCUCAACAGAGCACAGAGGAGACAGGUUUUAGAGGACCUUAGGAGACGGCUGACGAUGGAGAGGCUGGCGGUGUUGAGGGCAUCGACCCCUGACAUCCCUAUGGCGACAGAUUUAGACAUUGUGGUAAGGAGAGAAGAGGAGGAGGAGGAAAUGUUAUGUUCACCUACAGAAGCAGAGGAGGAAGUGGACUGCAAAGAGGAUUCCUGCCACUGCCAUGCACCAAUCCUGAGACUGAAAAAAGCUGUAAAAGAGAGGGAUGAGGCACUGCAUACAAGAAGUGAGACCAACAAAUCCAUUAAAGAGGACAACCUUAAGUUGAUCUCUGAUCUGCAAAGGUUGAGAAAGAAGUACCAGCUGCUGAAAAGGCAGAUGGGGAUUGGCAUGGUGAAGGCCCUCAACUUUCAGGCAGAGUCAGACACAGACACAAAUCAAGAGGAGCAGGACCAAGCUAGAGGUUCAGGGGACCAGAGAGAGGAGCCUACAGUGUCCGGGUCAAGCUGCAAACUCAUCUUCCCGGGCUCUGCUAUGAGUGUGUUUAUCGAGGGAUUCAGGAAGACCUGUGAGGGCCCUAAUCCAAAUUAUAAGCUGAGUGAAAAUUGUGCCUCAAAGGUCAAGAGGGUGACGCAAUUUUUAAACUACAUGGCGAAGAAUGAGACCUACCAGUCCUCUCUCAUUUUCCUGACAGACCAUGACAAAAUAAGGAAGUAAGCAGAAUAAUUUUUUCUCUCUAGCCUCACAAGCAUUAACCAACAAUACAGUAUUUGAUUGUAUGAUUUGUGUGUGUGUGUGUGUGUGUGUGUGUGUGUGUUUUUAGAUGGGUUCAAUUCCUCCAGAAGAACAAGGCAAUCACCACAGUCAACCACUACACCUUGACUAUUGGUGCAUUUCUUAAAUAUUCUGAGGAGACCCCUCCAUCUGGCUGCCGGCUGACCGUGAACCAAUGGAGGGGGAUCAACCGGUUGAUGAAGGGCAUUAGCAAGUCCAUGAGACGACCAGUUUCCCUUCACCAGAUAAAGGUGAAGGACAACAAGGAAGGCAAGGUGGUGUCCAAAAAGAGCCUGCUACAGUGCCAGUCUCUUGCCAAGGCCAAAAUCCCUCAAGUGCUGAGUAAGUUUUUCUCAAUCUGUGAUGUCACUGUUUUUACACACUUAUAGACGUCAGAGAUGUAUAGAAUGCAUUAUGGAGUGGGAUUAUGAAGCUGCCUUUUUUUAUUUUCAUGUUCACAGAAACAUUGGAAGAAACAAGGACACAGAGGAAUCAGUACAGGUUUUAUGGGUACCUGUGUGCCUACUUUACAUCCAUAUACGGCCACAGACCAGGCCUAUAUAAAAACAUGUUGGUGAAAGAGGUGGAGGAGGCAAAAUGUGACCAGUCUGGGGUGUACCUGAUCAAUGUAAGUCUAUGAAAUACAGCUGGCUGUGUUUAUUUGUUUGUUUGCUUGGUUGGUUAUCUUUGGAAACAAUUGCAGUCGCAGGAGCGUAAUGUGUUUUUUUGUGUUUUUUCUCUGUUCAAUUUCUAUUAGGUGGGGGAACACAAAACAAAUCGGGAGUACGGCAUGGUCCAGAUGUCGCUGACAAAGGAGGAGUACAGCUGGUUUUCCGACUUCCUCAAAUUCAAGCACUGUCUCUUAGGGGGAAAGAAGGCCCAGCACUUCUUUUUCAAUUCAACAAACACUCAGAUGAAGAACCUGCCUGCCUACCUGAGGGAGGUGUGGAAGGAGAUGGGUCUGCCCGAAUGUCCUUCAUUCACUGACCUGAGGACCUCCAUUGUCACUCAUGUAGGUCAGAUUAGAUAGGAAUCUAAUUAAUGUAAGAUCCUAUUCUAUUGUUGUCUGAAGUAAUAUCAAUAAUAUCAUAUAUUUGUGUGUGUGUGUGUGUGUGUGUCUUACAGGUAAAAAACAUGCUCCCAAAGGUUGACAGGGAAAGGGUGGCCAACUUCAUGUGCCACAACAUCCAGACGGCAGACAAAUAUUAUGCCAUGAAUUUAAAUCCAACCCAAGCAAAUGAAACCAGGGCACUCUUUGAGGCUGCACUGAAGGGGGAAGAUAACACAGUCGCCGCAGAGAACCAGCCCUCCACCUCAGGAGAAAGAAAGCAGAAGGUGAGAGAGGAUGCCUCCCUCUCCGACGGGAGCACCACCCCUGAAGAGACCAAGGUGAUGUACCAGGAGUCUGGCACGUCCGCCGGUGACUCGGAAGAGGAGGAAGAGGAUGAAGAUGAGGAACAGAUGGCCAGACAACUUCCAGUAAGAUCAGCUAUUCUGACAGGACACAUUUGAUUAUCAAAAUGUACUUGUAAACUAUGUAACAGUCAAGUGUGAAUUCUGAGAUAUAUCUAAUUUCUUGUGUUUGCUCUGUCAGGAGACACCUUCCAAGGUGACCAAUCCUCAGGUGGAGAUGGAACUUACCCCAAAGAGGAAGCGGAGCAUCUGCACACGCCGCAUGGAGGUCGCCAUCAGCCCCAUGCUAGUCUCACCCCUCAAAGUGAGGCUCAAGUCGCCCCCCCACCAGUCCCUCAUUGUCACAUUAAAAGGGAUGCAACAACUAAACUCAAAUAAAGUCAGACUAAAAAAUGCCAUUGCCUCAAGGAGGUUAAAGCUGCAGGAGAAGGUGCAAAAGAGAGGAGGGGACCCCUGAUGCAGCUCGAAGGAAGGGGAGCCGACCAACAACAAGACUUCCUCUUCCAAAUAGUCAUGUAGAUUGUUUUAGACUCUCACAUUUAUACUGUUCUGAUUUUGUUUGGUUUGAUUUUCAAUUUUGGUGUGCUUGUUUACAUUUUAGAAGUGUAAAAUGUGUGUAAUUUAGUCUAACUGUCUGUUCAAUUUUCUAUUUUGGUGUGAUUCUUUAUAAUGUAAAGGUUUGUUCUGUUUUAUUAAAUAACUAGUUUAGUAAUUAUUUGUGUUGUGCUUUCUUUAAGGUUAUAUUCUAACUGUCUGUUCAAUUUUCUAUUUUGGUGUGAUUCUUUAUAAUGUAAAGGUUUGUUCUGUUUUAUUAAAUAACUAGUUGAGUAAUUAUUUGUGUUGUGCUUUCUUUAAGGUUUAUAUUUAGUUUGUCACUUAAUUUGUAAGUGUUAAACAUUCACUGUCUUGUGUUGUUGUCUGUGAAGGUAGGAACAAAUAUUUAGGCAUUAUUGGCAUGGGAAUCAUAUGUUUACAUUGGCAAAGCAAAUUAAGUAGAUAAUAAACAAAAGUGAAAUAAACAAUAAAGUCCUGCUGUAGACUGUACUACUGCUGUUCAGGAAGCACAAUUUGAACUAGAAACUUACACAGACAGGCUGAAAUAAACACUAAAAAAUAACAAAUGGCAUCACCGUAAUAUCCCGCUUGACCGUGGCUCGCUCGGUCUGAGCGCAGCGACCAUGAGAAAAGUAAGCCCAAAAUGAAGCCUGCCCCACAACGUCAUUUGCUUUUGGGUGACAGUGAGAGAACCGUUAGGUUUAGAAGGACAAUUCAACCACAGGAAUGUUCCUAACGUCCUUCCGAUCCAUGCAAGCCUUACCUUGACCGUGUGGCAUCAACCCUUAAAAAUAAAACAGGGUUUUUUGAUCUCACAGAUUACAAUGACAUCUCUCCCCAUAGGAAUACAUUGACAGCUCCCCUAAAUUCAACCUGGAGCCUAUGUGGGUUAAUAAUGCCUUAUGAACCUGUCUUCAAUGCCAAUCCAUCAGGCCACUAUGAGGUCUACCUGUGUCGAUUCUAAGCUUCCUGGAGCAACCGGAAGUGGUUAAAUUCACCCAAAAUGUAUUUUGAUGUACAUAACCUGCAAAUGUGAAAAUGACUGCAUUCAACCCUGGGUAGAUCAGUCAAUUCUUAACAUAAAGACUUUAGGAUUCUCAGGAUUCUGUAAGAGAAUACCCAAAGCAAGAUAUUUGUUUACCUAUAGCUUCCUGUGCCAACCGGAAGUGCCUUUAAUUGGUGUCUCAGGGGCUUCUCCUUAGGAGGGAUGGGGACACCACCACGGGACAGACCCCACACUCAUCGCUAGAGAUCGAACUUCAGACUCCCUUCAAAACCACUGAACCCCUCAACACACCGAAAGAGAUUACGGUGCACACCCUUAGAGGGAGCCGGAACAGGAUAACUCCCUCCACCAUCACAGAGACACAGAGGAGGAGGAACUAUCCAACACCCAGGGAGAGAGAACAAGUGACGUCAGUCGAACACAGUCAGAAAGAGGAGGUGGAAGAGGCGUUAGAUAGAGGAGGAUAUUACCCCAGAGGCCAUUCCUCCUGUUCAUGUGAGCAAGAAAGAGCAGAAGGCUUCUGAUCAGCCAAAUGGCAGGCAGAGGGAGAGGUCAUAGUGAUUCACACCCACAGAGAGAAAGACAACCCACACAACCUCUUGGUUGAGAUGAACCACACAGGUAGAGGCAGAGGGCCUUCAGGGCUAGCCAGUCAGCCUGCCUGCUCUGAUCCUCAAGUCAAUUGUAUAUAAAUU
ensembl:lncRNA